rnacentral:tRNA from 1 species
GCCUAGUUAGCUUAGUUGGUAAUGCGUCUGCCUUGUGAGCGCUAGGCCGCGGGUUCGAUUCCCGCCCGGGGCG